rnacentral:misc_RNA from 1 species
GCCACAUCCAAGCUUGUUUAAAUAACCCAAUGUCCUCCAUUACUAAACUAAAUUUACACACCUAACUGAACAGAACUACAACACCCAAACCCCAAAUUACCAAAAAUUGCUAUUGGUACCCAUCCUUUUGAUAUGAGAACAACUCAUUUGACCAAACCUGUGAAAUCACCAUAUCAUGAAUAACAGUCAUUAUCUGCUAAUCUCACUAAAGAACCCCCUUUUGUGUCAUAUAAAACAAAACCCAGAUCAUAAAUUCGUCAAAUCCAAACACCCAAGUAGCAAAAACAAGUAAAGACAAGAUCCAGAA